rnacentral:lncRNA from 1 species
UUGAGCAUCUCUUCUUUCAUCUCCCUUAGAAACCAUGCAUCUCUGAACAAAGAUGUGACCCAGAAAUAAAGCUGACUCUAAAGGGAGAAAACCCGUCCAGAGCCCAUGAUAAUUAUUCUGACUGAUGGAGUGCUGAAAAGAUUUUCCAGCAAAGUGACAGCAGUACUGCAAUGCCAAUCGUUGCAUAUUGAUCUUCAACCAUGCCAUUCUAAAGUUUAAAAGCUAUUAUUUGAGGAUAUAGUUAUAGGAGGACUACAUUUGAACUCUCU